rnacentral:lncRNA from 1 species
GGGAUUAAGAAUGCAAUGUUUAUCUUUACAAAAUUAAAAUCCAGUAAUACUGAGAUUUGGAUGCACAAAAUUUGCCUUAGCACGUGACCGGUUAUCGUGUCUACUGAAACAGGUACCUUUAGCAGCUAAUGACGAGCAAAUAAUGUACAAUUGGGUUCUUUCUAAACCGUUUUGAAAUUGCAGAUGCAACAAUAAAAGUGAUUUCAUCAUCGGACAUAGGCUUCCUUGCGUUGAAAAAUGGCAAGAAAGCAUCGGUAAAGUGUAAGCAGCAGUAUCAAUUCUAACUAGCAUUUAACAGAAACAAAAUAAUCAUAACCAAAGCAUUCAAUGACUUAUGGAAACGAGUUUUCUGCAAAUACACGAACUUCUUAAGCUAAGAGGACGAAAAGAAGUAAAGACCAUUGAGCAAAUCUCACCAAAGCUUUUCAUUAGAUGGUUUCAAACGAAAAUAGCAAAAUUAGCACAAUCUCAGCAAAUUUGUUUUUGACAUGCACGAUUCUCUAUUUUCUUCCCCUGUUAAGCCUCUGAAGGUGAUAGUUAAUGCUUCCCCAAGCCGUUUUGUUUUUGCCAGUCUACAGAAAGAGCAGAGAGGAAAGCAUGUAAAUAGCAAAGAAGAUCAAAUUGGAAAUAAUACAUACGAAUUUGUUGUUUGAAUAAAAAUAUACUACAAUAACAUAAAUGACAAAAAUCGAACAAUGCAAUUUCCACUUGCCUGAGCAUCCAUGCAGGCAUUUAAUUGUA